rnacentral:tRNA from 1 species
GGCGUCAUUGUCCAAUGGCAAGACGAGCGGCUGCAACCCGCUAGACACUGGUUCGAUUCCAGUUGACGCCU